GAUGAACGCUGGCGGCGUGCCUAAUACAUGCAAGUAGAACGCUGAAGGAAGGAGCUUGCUCUUUCCGGAUGAGUUGCGAACGGGUGAGUAACGCGUAGGUAACCUGCCUGGUAGCGGGGGAUAACUAUUGGAAACGAUAGCUAAUACCGCAUAACAGUAGAUGUUGCAUGAUAUCUACUUAAAAGGUGCAAUUGCACCACUACCAGAUGGACCUGCGUUGUAUUAGCUAGUUGGUGAGGUAACGGCUCACCAAGGCGACGAUACAUAGCCGACCUGAGAGGGUGAUCGGCCACACUGGGACUGAGACACGGCCCAGACUCCUACGGGAGGCAGCAGUAGGGAAUCUUCGGCAAUGGACGGAAGUCUGACCGAGCAACGCCGCGUGAGUGAAGAAGGUUGUCGGAUCGUAAAGCUCGGUUGUAAGAGAAGAACGAGUGUGAGAGUGGAAAGUUCACACUGUGACGGUAUCUUACCAGAAAGGGACGGCUAACUACGUG
rnacentral:rRNA from 1 species